rnacentral:rRNA from 1 species
UACGUAGGCAGCGAGCGUUGUUCGGAGUUACUGGGCGUAAAGAGUGCGUAGGCGGUUUUCUAAGUUUGGUGUGAAAUCUCCCGGCUCAACUGGGAGGGUGCGCCGAAGACUGGAAGGCUUGAGUAUGGGAGAGGUAAGCGGAAUUCCUGGUGUAGCGGUGAAAUGCGUAGAUAUCUGGAGGAACACCGGUGGCGAAGGCGGCAUCCUGGACCGGUAUUGACGCUGAGGCGCGAAAGCCAGGGGAGCAAACGGG